rnacentral:rRNA from 1 species
GCGUAAGAGCUCUAGGCGGCUUGUCCGUCGGGUGUGAAACCCUGGGGCUUAACCCCGGGUCUGCAUUCGAUACGGGCUAGCUAGAGUGUGGUAGGGGAGAUCGGAAUUCCUGGUGUAGCGGUGAAAUGCGCAGAUAUCAGGAGGAACACCGGUGGCGAAGGCGGAUCUCUGGGCCAUUACUGACGCUGAGGAGCGAAAGCGUGGGGAGCGAACAGGAUUAGAUACCCUGGUAGUCCACGCCGUAAACGGUGGGAACUAGGUGUUGGCGACAUUCCACGUCGUCGGUGCCGCAGCUAACGCAUUAAGUUCCCCGCCUGGGGAGUACGGCCGCAAGGCUAAAACUCAAAGGAAUUGACGGGGGCCCGCACAAGCAGCGGAGCAUGUGGCUUAAUUCGACGCAACGCGAAGAACCUUACCAAGGCUUGACAUACGCCGGAAAGCAUCGGAGAUGGUGCCCCCCUUGUGGU